rnacentral:lncRNA from 1 species
CUUUCUGGUUUGAUUCAUCAUCACAUGCUCACAGUUUCCGUGCCUCAUUGUUUUGGUCAUUCCUGCAAAAUAAAAAACAUAAAUUAAGAAUUUUCCCCCCCUGUUUGUUCGAGAAUCGAACCGUCUGACGUGAAAUUGAGAUGAAAUUUCUGACCUUGUGGUCGACUCAGAUCAGAACAAGAAAGUUUCUGACGAACAUUGGAACAGGCCUGGCCUUCUCAUUCAUUCGCCGUCCUGGUGCUGUUGUUUGCCUACUCUACAUCGUACAUGCGGACCAAUGGACCAUGCGCGCUCGUCAAACUGAUAGGAGAAGAAAAAAAGGCAUAAAUUUGCGUAAGAAAGUCUCACAUAUUUCCACCGUACAACGCAGGAAGCAACCAAUCAGGCAGCUCUCGUGAUUUCUCCUACGCUGUCAGCACCAAUGAUUUGAUGAAUUUCUAGGCAGCAGCAAGCCAGCAACUCGGCGGAAUUCGAGGAAGAAGAUCCGCCGAUUACUUUACUCGUCCUGAUAAUUAAAUUCUCUGCUAUGCAGCACAGCGAGCAGCGC